CCUUCGAUGUUCCGGGCUGCACGCGCAUUACACUGAUAUGUUCAAUAAGUUUACUUUUGUUGUGGGAGGGUGGUAGUUUUUUAAAUUAUCAUUCUUUCACUUUUUUUCCUGGUUUGAAAAGAUUGGGUAAUCUUUCUAAAAUCAUAUCGUGAUUGGGAUAGUGUUUUGUAAUUAUCGCACUUGAACGAGGAAUUCCUAGUAGGUGCAAGUCAUUAACUUGCUCCGAUUACGUCNCCGCCCUUUGUACACACCGCCCGUCGCUCCUACCGAUUGAAUAAUCCGAUGAGAAUUCAGGAUAGAAUAUCUUUUUUAUAAUUGUCUGAAAGGACAAUUAGGGGUAUUUUAGAAUUUAUUCAAAUCUUAUUAUUUAGAGGAAGGAGAAGUCGUAACAAGGUU
rnacentral:rRNA from 1 species